rnacentral:rRNA from 1 species
ACGAACCGUGCGAACGUUAUUCGGAAUCACUGGGCUUAAAGCGCGUGUAGGCGGAUCGGAACGUCGGUCGCUGAAAUCCCCCGGCUUAACCGGGGAACGGGCGCCGAAACGACCGGUCUGGAGGAACGUAGGGGGAGCUGGAACUUCCGGUGGAGCGGUGAAAUGCGUUGAGAUCGGAAGGAACGCCCGUGGCGAAAGCGAGCUCCUGGACGUUUUCUGACGCUGAGACGCGAAAGCCAGGGGAGCGAACGGGAUUAGAUACCCCGGUAGUCCUGGCCGUAAACGAUGGGCACUGGGUAGGGGGCUCGCCGAUGGGCUCCCUGCCGUAGCGAAAGCGUGAAGUGCCCCGCCUGGGGAGUAUGGUCGCAAGGCUG